AUUGAACGCUGGCGGCAGGCCUAACACAUGCAAGUCGAGCGGAUGAAGGGAGCUUGCUCCUGGAUUCAGCGGCGGACGGGUGAGUAAUGCCUAGGAAUCUGCCUGGUAGUGGGGGAUAACGUCCGGAAACGGGCGCUAAUACCGCAUACGUCCUGAGGGAGAAAGUGUGGGAUCUUCUGACCUCACGCUAUCAGAUGAGCCUAGGUCGGAUUAGCUAGUUGGUGGGUUAAAGGCCUACCAAGGCGACGAUCCGUAACUGGUCUGAGAGGAUGAUCAGUCACACUGGAACUGAGAAACGGUCCAGACUCCUACGGGAGGCAGCAGUGGGGAAUAUUGGACAAUGGGCGAAAGCCUGAUCCAGCCAUGCCGCGUGUGUGAAGAAGGGCUUCGGAUUGUAAAGCACUUUAAGUUGGGAGGAAGGGCAGUAAGUUAAUACCUUGCUGUUUUGACGUUACCAACAGAAUAAGCACCGGCUAACUUCGUG
rnacentral:rRNA from 1 species